rnacentral:tRNA from 1 species
AAUUAAUGAGCUUGUAAUAAGCAUUUGUUUUGAAAACUUAUUAAAGAAUAAUUAUUCUAUUAAUUU